CCUACGGGUGGCAGCAGUAAGGAAUAUUGGUCAAUGGACGCAAGUCUGAACCAGCCAUGCCGCGUGGAGGAUGAAGGUCCUCUGGAUUGUAAACUUCUUUUAUCUGGGAAGAAAUCCACAUUUUCUAAUGUGGUUGACGGUACCAGAUGAAUAAGCACCGGCUAACUCCGUGCCAGCAGCCGCGGUAAUACGGAGGGUGCAAGCGUUAUCCGGAUUCACUGGGUUUAAAGGGUGCGUAGGCGGGCAGAUAAGUCAGUGGUGAAAUCUCUGGGCUUAACCCAGAAACUGCCGUUGAUACUAUUUGUCUUGAAUAUCAUGGAGGUAAGCGGAAUAUGUCAUGUAGCGGUGAAAUGCUUAGAUAUGACAUAGAACACCGAUAGCGAAGGCAGCUUACUACAUGUUAAUUGACGCUGAGGCACGAAAGCGUGGGGAGCAAACAG
rnacentral:rRNA from 1 species